rnacentral:rRNA from 1 species
UACGUAGGUGGCAAGCGUUGUCCGGAAUUAUUGGGCGUAAAGCGCGCGCAGGUGGUUUCUUAAGUCGGGUGUGAAAGCCCCGGGCUCAACCUGGGAAUUGCAUUCGAGACUGCAUGGCUAGGGUGCGGAAGAGGGAAGCGGAAUUUCCGGUGUAGCGGUGAAAUGCGUAGAUAUCGGAAGGAACACCAGUGGCGAAAGCGGCUUCCUGGUCCAGCACCGACGUUCAGGCACGAAAGCGUGGGGAGCAAACAGG